GAUGAACGCUGGCGGCGUGCCUAAUACAUGCAAGUCGAGCGAACAGAUGAGGAGCUUGCUCCUCUGACGUUAGCGGCGGACGGGUGAGUAACACGUGGAUAACCUACCUAUAAGACUGGGAUAACUUCGGGAAACCGGAGCUAAUACCGGAUAAUAUAUUGAACCGCAUGGUUCAAUAGUGAAAGACGGUGUUGCUGUCACUUAUAGAUGGAUCCGCGCCGCAUUAGCUAGUUGGUAAGGUAACGGCUUACCAAGGCAACGAUGCGUAGCCGACCUGAGAGGGUGGUCGGCGACACGGGAACGGAGCCACGGUCCAGACUCCUACGGGAGGCAGCAGUAGGGAAUCGUCCGCAAUGGGCGAAAGCCUGACGGAGCAACGCCGAGUGAGUGAUGAAGGUCUUCGGAUCGUAAAACUCUGUUAUUAGGGAAGAACAAAUGUGUAAGUAACUAUGCACGUCGUGACGGUACCUAAUCAGAAAGCCACGGCUAACUACGUG
rnacentral:rRNA from 1 species